ACAAAGGGUGAACAGAAAAUGGAUGGAUGGAUGGAUGGAUGGAUGUUCUGGGUUUAUACACAUACUUUCAGGCAAAACAGGUUCCCUGUGAAGUGACUCCCUUUGGUUCAACCACAAGGUGCUGUCACAUCAGACGUGAUCAGGAGUUAUUCAUCAAUCACAUCUAGCAGGACUCAACUAUCAUGUCAGGGACGUCUGUUUUGACGAUGCUGUGCUGAGAGUUAAAGUAGACCAUGGACAGAGGCCGGCGCUCAG